rnacentral:rRNA from 1 species
GACGAACGCUGGCGGCGUGCUUAACACAUGCAAGUCGAGCGGUAAGGCCCUUUCGGGGGUACACGAGCGGCGAAUGGGUGAGUAGCACGUGGGUGACCUGCCCUCAGCUCUGGGAUAAGCCUGGGAAACUGGGUCUAAUACCGGAUAUGACUCCAUGACGCAUGUUGUGGGGUGGAAAGCCUUGUGCGGCUGAGGAUGGGCCCGCGGCCUAUCAGCUUGUUGGUGGGGGAUGGCCUACCAAGGCGACGACGGGUAGCCGGCCUGAGAGGGCGACCGGCCACACUGGGACUGAGACACGGCCCAGACUCCUACGGGAGGCAGCAGUGGGGAAUCUUGCGCAAUGGGCGAAAGCCUGACGCAGCGACGCCGCGUGAGGGAUGACGGCCUGGUGUAAC